GAUCGCAAAAACAGCAAUAUCAAUUCAACUUCUGAAUCCAGAGCCUAUCACUUGGAUUCUUAUAGAUACUUUUGUAUCUCAUUUCUUGAAUCGAUUUGUUUGGAUUUUUCAGCUGAUGAAAUAUGCCUUACUAAAGUGUAAUGCGAUAUAGCUUAGUUGGCAUUAUAAACGGGGAAAAUUGAAACUUCAGCGGAUAUAUUUUACUCGGCUUUUAUCAGCUGGCGAUAAAAGCAUACCAGGAAUACCUGAAUUCCCAUUUCGGAAUUAAUCAGAACUGCCAAUCAUAGCUUUGAUUCAUCAUAGAUAAACAAACUUCAAAUUGCAUUUAUUUUUGUAACUUCCAAGGACCCACUCAAAUGCAAUAAUGAUAUACUCCUUAAAGAUACCAGGCAACAAGAAAGGUCUGCAAAUUCGAUUAAAUUAAAUUUUAGCGACACAUAAUGGAAAUUCUGGACAGGAGAGGAAAAUAACCAACUGACGCACGGAGUUACAUGUGUAUAUUUGUUAUUUAUCCAGUAGCUGGCUGUGGCAGAAAAUCACGACCAUGUCCUUGAAUACGAAAUUGCGACCCAACUUGCAGAGGGAACGCCAAGGAUACGUAGGGAGCAGCAAGGAUAACAGCCCGAUCCCACGCUCUGUUUAACACCCUCAACAGCCACGACAAAAGCACAAAUUGUUUAUACGUACAAACAGCUGCGGUCAAGAUAAUAGCACAGGAAGUGACCAGAUUCAGGAUAUAAAUAAAAAUAGUUCUUAUUCAA